rnacentral:rRNA from 1 species
CCUACGGGUGGCAGCAGUGAGGAAUAUUGGUCAAUGGACGAGAGUCUGAACCAGCCAAGUAGCGUGAAGGAUGACUGCCCUAUGGGUUGUAAACUUCUUUUAUAUGGGAAUAAAACGUUUCACGUGUGGGAUUUUGUAUGUAUUAUAUGAAUAAGGAUCGGCUAACUCCGUGCCAGCAGCCGCGGUAAUACGGGGGAUCCGAGCGUUAUCCGGAUUUAUUGGGUUUAAAGGGAGCGUAGGUGGGUUGUUAAGUCAGUUGUGAAAGUUUGCGGCUCAACCGUAAAAUUGCAGUUGAUACUGGCAGUCUUGAGUACAGUAGAGGUGGGCGGAAUUCGUGGUGUAGCGGUGAAAUGCUUAGAUAUCACGAAGAACUCCGAUUGCGAAGGCAGUUCACUGAACUGCAACUGACACUGAGGCUCGAAAGUGUGGGUAUCAAACAGGAUUAGAUACCCCUGUAGUC